rnacentral:rRNA from 1 species
CAGCUUUUGACAUCCCGGUCGCGGGCACCAGAGAUGGAGCCCUUCAGUUCGGCUGGACCGGAGACAGGUGCUGCAUGGCUGUCGUCAGCUCGUGUCGUGAGAUGUUGGGUUAAGUCCCGCAACGAGCGCAACCCUCGCCCUUAGUUGCCAUCAUUUAGUUGGGCACUCUAAGGGGACUGCCGGUGAUAAGCCGGAGGAAGGUGGGGAUGACGUCAAGUCCUCAUGGCCCUUACAGGCUGGGCUACACACGUGCUACAAUGGCGGUGACAGAGGGACGCAAAGGAGCAAUCCUUCGCAAAUCUCAAAAAGCCGUCUCAGUUCGGAUUGUGCUCUGCAACUCGAGCACAUGAAGUUGGAAUCGCUAGUAAUCGCAGAUCAGCACGCUGCGGUGAAUACGUUCCC